rnacentral:lncRNA from 1 species
AAAAAGGCAUAGCAUUCUAGUUAGUGAGAUUGUAAGUCUCCCUUCUUUCAUGGUAUUGUGUGGAAACUUGGCCUUUUUCCCUUCCUUUGGAAGAUGUCUUGGUUCAAGGAUCCAUGCUUGUGAUAAGUGGGUUGAGUGUUAUCCAAAGAAUGACUUCAAAUAAAAAAAAAAACAAAAGCAAAACAAUACUAACCUCUAACUCAUUAACAACUAACAUUUAAUUUCAAGUCCUUUAUUUUAAUGCACUUUAAUUUUUU